AAUAAGUGUAGCGAGUUUCCGUGCCCAAUUUUGAUCGUUCGUUUUAUUUGAAAUUUUUUUAUAAUUAGUAUUUUUGUUGUUAUGAGAUGAUAAAACAUGAAUAGUGCUUUACUCGUGACUUAUGUUUUUAAUUUUUUUCAAAAAAUUUUUAAAUAAGACGAACGGUUAAAGUUGGGUGCGGAAAGCCAUGGCUGCACUUAUU
rfam:Oryza rufipogon genomic scaffold, chr04